rnacentral:lncRNA from 10 species
UCAUUAACAUAUGGAACGUAUGUGGCACCUCUGCUAGACAGUUGUGCCAGGUACCAAGGAUCCCCCAAAAGCAGUAACAACCUGAUCCUGCCUUCAUUGCCACUUACAUCCACCCAUGGGAAACAGAUUUAACGAAAGAGCAAUUGGAAUUCAUGUGCUCUGAUGUGGGAAGUACAUGAUACUAUGGAAGCCCAGAGAAAGGGUACCUAACCCAGAUUUUGAAGAAAUGAGAAAUGCUUCCUGGAAGAUGAGACAACUACCCUAAGACCUGCAAAAUCAAUAGGAGUAUGACCUAUGAAGUGAGAGAAGAAAGAUAAAAAUAAUGGACAUGAGGAAAACUCUACUACUAUUUAGCCAUUUUCUGUCGUACAUUUUAAAUAAGAAUUAGAAAUUAAGCAAGCAUUUUACAGAUUACUCCAGAAACUGCUCUUCUAAAGGCAAGCUCCACUGAAUUUUUCUAGAAAAAAGGAAGCCUCCUGAAUUCUCACCAAAUAAAUGCCUGAUACUCUACCUGCUUGCUCCAGCUGACACAGUCAAGAGAAACCUAAGUCCACAUCUGCAGACCAUGGAGUUCCCUGAACAAAAACCUCUUAAAUGCUUGGAAUCCCAACUUUCAGACUAGCCAAAGAGUAGUCCAGAAAAGGCUGGAGUGCGGUGGCAUGAUCUCGGCUCACUGCAAACUCUGCCUCCCCAGUUCAAAUGAUUCUUCUGCCUUCUGCCUCAGCCUCCCAAAUAGCUGGAACUACAGCAAGGCCAACUUUUCUACCAGAUAACCCUGACCUCAUCCUGUCAGAAUUGAAUGGACCAAGAAUUGAGCUACCCUAAAAGUGCCCACUUUGCUUGUGGGAUUUAGGAGGAAAUGCCACACACUGUCAUAGAAAAAAUGGCGUCUCACUCUAUUGCCCAGGCUAGAGUACAAUAGUGCAAUCUUGGCUCACUGCAACCUCCCCCUCCCAGGUUCAAGCCAUUCUCCUGCCUCAGCCUCCCGAGUAGCUAGAACUACAAGCACGUGCACUGUACCCAGCUAAUUUUUUGUAUUUUUAGCAGAGACGGGGUUUCUCCAUGUUGGCCAGGCUGGUCUCGAACUCCUGACCUCAGGUAAUCCACCGCCUCAUCCUCCCAAAAUGCAUUAUCUCUUCCCAAAAUGCAUUAUCUAUUUCAUUAAGAAAAAGGAGAAAGCAACCAUGCUAAGCUUCAAAUAAAAGCAUGUGAGCACACCUGAUGACGCUAGACCCACUGGAAUCUCGCAUAACUCAUCCUGAACGUGUUGGGAAUCAAGUCUCUCAGGAUUAGCCCUGGUAAUCUGAAAGUCACCAGUCAUCAAGAAGUGGCAUCUCUACCAUGUGGUGCAAUCAUAGCCCUGAACUCAAAUUUCUGUCUGAUAUAUUUGAUGUGAUCCCUCCUUUUAUACCCUUUUAACUUCUGCUUGGAGAGACCCACUGACCUUGUAGCUGACUGUCAGAACUUUUCCUUGCCAGGCCAGCAAUAAAUUUGGCAUUGUUUUGGACAUUGAUUUGGUGGUCUUUGUUUCUUAGUGCUCAACAAUUUUAAUAGAGUCAGAAUCCAGAGAUAUAAUGGAUAAGCAGACUAUUAAUAAAGCACUAUUCACAAUUGCAAAGACUUGAAACCAACCCAAAUGCCCAAC